rnacentral:rRNA from 1 species
UACAGAGGUGCCGAGCGUUAGGCGGAAUCACUGGGCUUAAAGCGUGUGUAGGCGGAUGCCUAAGUACCUUGUGAAAUCCCACGGCUUAACCGUGGAACUGCUCGGUAUACUGGGUGUCUUGAGCCACUUAGGGGUUACCGGAACAAAUGGUGGAGCGGUGAAAUGCGUAGAUAUCAUUUGGAACGCCAAUGGUGAAAACAGGUAACUGGGAGUGUGCUGACGCUGAGACACGAAAGCCAGGGGGAGCAAAACGGGG